rnacentral:rRNA from 1 species
ACAAACGCUUCAGUUAUAGAAUGUUUACUUGCGUAUAACGCAUUUAUAUACAACUUUCAGCAACGGAUCUCUUGGCUCUCGCAUCGAUGAAGAACGCAGCGAAAUGCGAUAAGUAAUGUGAAUUGCAGAAUUCAGUGAAUCAUCGAAUCUUUGAAC